AUGGCUGACGCGGAGGACAUUCAGCCCCUUGUCUGCGACAAUGGAACUGGAAUGGUCAAGGCUGGCUUUGCCGGAGACGAUGCUCCACGUGCCGUUUUCCCUAGUAUUGUUGGCCGCCCACGCCACACUGGUGUUAUGGUAGGGAUGGGGCAGAAGGAUGCUUAUGUUGGUGAUGAGGCCCAAUCCAAGAGGGGUAUCCUGACUUUGAAGUACCCCAUUGAGCACGGAAUUGUAAGCAACUGGGAUGACAUGGAGAAGAUUUGGCAUCACACCUUCUACAAUGAGCUCCGUGUAGCACCUGAAGAGCACCCUGUUCUUCUUACAGAGGCUCCUCUUAACCCUAAGGCCAACAGGGAGAAGAUGACACAGAUCAUGUUUGAGACAUUCAGUGUUCCUGCCAUGUAUGUCGCUAUUCAAGCCGUCCUUUCUCUAUAUGCUAGUGGGCGUACCACUGGUAUUGUCUUGGAUUCUGGAGAUGGUGUCAGUCACACAGUCCCAAUCUAUGAGGGUUAUGCCCUUCCACACGCUAUUCUACGUCUUGAUCUUGCCGGUAGGGAUCUCACCGAUUCCCUCAUGAAGAUCCUGACUGAGAGGGGUUACUCUUUCACAACCACUGCCGAGCGGGAAAUUGUGCGUGACAUCAAGGAGAAGCUUGCAUAUGUUGCCCUCGACUACGAGCAGGAGCUUGAGACCGCGAAGAGUAGCUCAUCAGUUGAGAAGAGCUAUGAGCUGCCUGAUGGUCAAGUGAUCACCAUAGGCGCAGAGCGCUUCAGAUGCCCAGAGGUCCUCUUCCAGCCUUCCAUCAUCGGCAUGGAAGCUCCUGGCAUCCACGAGACGACCUACAAUUCCAUCAUGAAGUGCGAUGUGGAUAUCAGGAAGGACCUGUACGGUAACAUUGUCCUCAGUGGUGGGUCUACCAUGUUCCCUGGCAUCGCCGACCGUAUGAGCAAGGAGAUCACAGCGCUUGCCCCAAGCAGCAUGAAGAUCAAGGUCGUCGCUCCACCGGAGAGGAAGUACAGUGUCUGGAUUGGAGGGUCUAUCCUUGCAUCUCUGAGCACAUUCCAGCAGGUAACGGCGAAUUUUGCCCCAAUGGUUGUUGUUCUUGACUCGUUCUACCAUUUGAAAGUUUCUGACAUGUCCAUUUCUUGUGCAGAUGUGGAUCUCCAGGGCAGAGUACGAAGAAUCUGGCCCAGCCAUCGUCCACAGGAAGUGCUUCUAGACAGUUGUCGUCAGACCUAUUCUCAAUGCAUACCCUUGUCUAGUAGCAUUAUUAGGUGGUGGUUUUGUUGGACAAAUGUUGGGCCGAUGGCCCUCGUCUAUGGGUGUAUCUACUCUAUUAUGUGUGUAGUCUGA
rnacentral:rRNA from 1 species